AUGCUUUGCUUGUAUGUUGAUGACAUACUGAUUUUUGGAACAAAUCUGAAUGUUAUUAAGGAGGUCAAGGAUUUCCUAUCUCGCUGUUUUGAGAUGAAAGAUUUAGGAGUGGCUGAUGUCAUUCUGAACAUCAAGUUGUUGAGAGAUGAUGAUGGUGGGAUUACAUUGCUUCAAUCUCACUAUGUGGAAAAGAUCUUGAGUCGCUUUGGCUAUAGUGACUGCAAGCCCUCUCCAACACCAUAUGAUGCUAGCGUGCUGCUUCGAAAGAAUCGAAGAAUUGCUAGAGAUCAAUUGAAGUAUUCUCAGAUUAUUGGCUCGCUUAUGUACUUAGCCAGUGCUACAAGACCUGACAUCUCUUUUGCUGUUAGCAAGCUGAGCCGGUUUGUCUCAAAACCGGGAGAUGUGCAUUGGAAAGCUCUAGAGAGAGUUUUGCGUUAUUUAAAAGGCACUGUAAACUAUGGAAUUCACUACACUGGGCACCCAAAGGUGCUUGAAGGGUAUAGUGACUCAAACUGGAUCUCAGAUGCUGAUGAGAUAAAGGCCACGAGCGGAUAUGUGUUCACUCAUGGAGGUGGCGCUGUUUCUUGGAAGUCUUGCAAGCAGACCAUCUUAACGAGGUCAACUAUGGAAGCAUAA
rnacentral:rRNA from 1 species